GUAGGGAAUAUUGGGCAAUGGAAGCAAUUCUGACCCAGCCAUGCCGCGUGAAGGAAUACAGCCCUAUGGGUUUUAAACUUCUUUUAUUAUAGAGUAAACGGAGGUACGUGUACCUCCCUGCAAGAAUAUGAUGAAUAAGGAUCGGCUAACUCCGUGCCAGCAGCCGCGGUAAUACGGAGGAUCCAAGCGUUAUCCGGAUCUAUUGGGUUUAAAGGGUGCGCAGGCGGAUCAAUAAGUCAGGGGUGAAAAAUUUCAGCUUAACUGGAAUCGUGCCUUUGAUACUUUUGGACUAGAGGAGAAUUGACGUGACUGGAAUGUGAUGUGUAGCGGUGAAAUGCUUAGAUAUGUCACAGAACGCCAAUCGUGAAGACAGGUCACGAAAUUAUUACUGACGCUCAUGCACGAAAGCGUGGGGAUCAAACAGGAUUAGAAACCCUAGUAGUCC
rnacentral:rRNA from 1 species